rnacentral:tRNA from 1 species
GCGCACGUGGUCUAGUGGUAGAAUACCACCCUGCCAUCAAGCAGUACAUAGUCCGGUGGAGACCCGAGUUCGAUUCUCGGCGUGCGCA